UCUCAGGGCUUAAAACCAGAGUGGAAAGGCAGACAUCAGCUUCAGUGGUCCCACAGAUGCUGUGCAAAGGAUGAAAAUGCUAACUUAUUUUAUCUCUGGAAGCUUCCCUGGAUCUUGGGGGGAGGUAGUUUUCCAUGGAUCACAGGCUUCUGUUUAUCCUUGCUGCCUAUGUAUGAGUGAUACCUGUGCUCUGCCUGACAUGCUAUAUCCUGUUUCACUGGACUCAUAUUCUGCCUGAUGUGGUUUAGAUCCUGCUGGAUCUAGGAACCUUAACAGGAAUUAUCAAUGCAUAUAGAGAUUGGGAUUGGUUAGUGGUGUACACUGAUUUUUGUACAGCAGAGGGACCUUUGAAGAGAAAUAGGCUUAGAUGAUGUCAUGAGGGUUGUAUCUUCAUAAAAGAAUUAGUGUUUUUACACAAUAGGACACCAGAGAACUUUAUCUUUUUAUCUCCACCACAAAAACAGUGAGAAGGCAGAAGUCUACCAACCGGGAUGACUGCUUCACCGGGAACUAAAUUGGAGGGAAACUUGACCUUGGAUUCCCAGCCUUCAUAAUUCCUGGGGCUGCCAGCACAUGAUGCCAUGCUGCCAGCGACCAUCAGAUGGCAAGAGUGCAGAGCAAGAGAUCCUGUUCAAGAGUGACAGCUGAGAACACAGUGCCUGGAGUCCCAGUCUGGAGAGUGUGCGAGUCCCGCUGAAGACAAGAGCCAAAGAACAGUUUGGUAAGAGUGGCCUACAGUUGCAUUCUGCUGGGCUGCUGCUCCCUGGAGACCUCCCACCUCUGGCUCUGGGGUUCAACUCAAUCCGUGGUAGGCCUUGGGAACCUUGCAUGUACCCUAAAAAGUUACUUAUGUGUGUUUUUAAAAUAAAUGCAUUUACUCAUU